UACAGAGGUCCCAAGCGUUGUUCGGAUUCAUUGGGCGUAAAGGGUGCGUAGGCGGCGCGGUAAGUCGGGUGUGAAAUCUCGGAGCUUAACUCCGAAACUGCAUUCGAUACUGCCGUGCUUGAGGACUGGAGAGGAGACUGGAAUUUACGGUGUAGCGGUGAAAUGCGUAGAUAUCGUAAGGAAGACCAGUGGCGAAGGCGGGUCUCUGGACAGUUCCUGACGCUGAGGCCCGAAGGCCAGGGGAGCAAACGGG
rnacentral:rRNA from 1 species